rnacentral:lncRNA from 1 species
CAACUCACUGUGCGACAUCAGAGGCUUACUGAUGCUCAGCUCUGCUGGGAAAUAAGGUUCUUUUCUUCCCUCCCCUCCCCUCCCCUCCCUACCUCCUUCCUUUAUCCCCAUCCCUCCAACCCCCAGUCUGACCUCUUUCAUUGGCUUUAAGCUCAACCAAAAGGGAAGGGAAAAGAAGAGAAGACAGGGAGGAAGGAAGGAAGGGGGAAGAAAUGAAAGGAAAGGAAUGAAAGAGGGAGAGAAGGAAGGAAAAAAAAGAAAAGACAAAGGAAAGAAAGCAGCUUCGAGGCAUUUGGCUCUGGCCUGAGGAACUGUGCAGGUGUGAGGGGUGGGCCUGGGCAGGUGAGCACCUGUCCCCCAUCCCUCUACUCUCAGGGCCAGUGGGGAUGCUGCCUGUGGCCCCAGGGAUGACAGCUCUGACCAGGAAAAGCAGCUGGCCAUCCCUGGGCCUCUCUGGAGUCCUGUACUUCCCGACGUAUCCAGCCCCCAGCAACCCAGGAGGGUUGGGUCUGCCUCAACCCUGACAAAAGGGCAGCCUGACAGGAAGAAGGAAAUUUGGACACAGAGAAGAAAGCCACAACAGAGGCAGAGGCUAGAGCAAGGCGGCUGCAAACCCCGGCCCGGGGAAGAUUGCUGGCCCCCACCAGAACCUGGGAGGAAGCAGGAAGGAGCCUCCCCGCAGCCUUCGGAGGGAGCACGGCCCCGCCAACACUCUGAUUUUGGACGUCAGACCCCCAGAACUGCAAAAGGAGUUCCGGUUGUUUUCGGCCACCCCGUCUGUGGUACACUGUUUUGUCAGCCUGAGGAACCUCCAUACUGUUCACAUGAGUUCCAGGGCACCUGCGAAAGCCCACGUGCUGGGGCUGGGCUGGGGGUGCUGCUCUCCGCUUUGUUGAUAUCAUGAAACAGGGCAGAAACCACAGCCUCAGAGCUGACCUCUGCGGCAGGGCAGAGCUGGGGGAGGGGGUGGAGGGUCAUCUGGGCUGGGGGAGGGGGUGGAUGGUGACCUGG